AGCGAACGCUGGCGGCAGGCUUAACACAUGCAAGUCGAGCGGGCCCUUCGGGGUCAGCGGCGGACGGGUGAGUAACGCGUGGGAACGUGCCUUCUGGUCUGGAAUAACCCUGGGAAACUAGGGCUAAUACCGGAUACGCCCUUUUGGGGAAAGGUUUACUGCCGGAAGAUCGGCCCGCGUCUGAUUAGCUAGUUGGUGGGGUAACGGCCUACCAAGGCGACGAUCGGUAGCUGGUCUGAGAGGAUGAUCAGCCACACUGGGACUGAGACACGGCCCAGACUCCUACGGGAGGCAGCAGUGGGGAAUAUUGGACAAUGGGCGCAAGCCUGAUCCAGCCAUGCCGCGUGAGUGAUGAAGGCCUUAGGGUUGUAAAGCUCUUUUAUCCGGGACGAUAAUGACGGUACCGGAGGAAUAAGCCCCGGCUAACUUCGUG
rnacentral:rRNA from 1 species